GGCCGGCCUGGGGGCGGCGGGGGUUCCGCCGUGAGGAGGGCACGGCACGGCACGGCACGGCACGGCACGCCGGCCCCGGGAAAAAAAACAUCCGGCGGGAGAACACCAGCAGGAGCUCCGCUCUCGGCCUGUGGAAGAGCUGUAGGAGCGAUGUUCACCUCGAACCAGGUGACAGAGGAUGUUGUUACGUCUGUGAACAGACCCGUUUCUGCCCUUGGACUCAAGUACGUUGCAAGCGCCCCAUAAAUAUUUUGCUUAAAACCGUUGUUCUCUCUCUUCACCAGCCUUAAGGUAACACAGCCGGGAACAAGUGAGUCAGCGCAAAAGCAGCAGAGCAGAAAGACAGGUUUUAAUUGCUUUCGGAAGCGUGUUCAGAUGAUAAAUCUGAAAUCAUAAAGUCUCUCAGAACAGGAAACAGAAUAAUAGAAAUAUAAUCAGGAACCAUGCAACAUACUGAUCCCCCUGCUUUGAAAAGCCUGAGUGCCUGAACCACACUGGACUGAAUUUGGUGAUGUGCAGAGAGCUUCCCUCACCGCUCCCUCACGCUCCAGCGCACAGGAGGAUUAUCACUUGGAGCAUGAAGCUCAGCAAAGGCAGAGACAACACUUUUGCAGUGACACUGGCUAGGAUGCGGCAGAGGUGCUGCAGGAGCCACUCCAGGUCCCUCACGGUCAGCACUGAGCUAAAAGAUACUAAGUCCUUAAGGGUGACCCUCGCAAAACAGCACAAAGACAUUGUGGCUCAACAGAACUCAGCUCAGCAGUGGAACAGAAUCUACAGCUGCUCAAAUUGACCACUAGGUACGCCUUCAGCCGCAAUUAGCAAGCUCCCUCUUGUUGUGAAGUGAAUGAACAAUUUUCUGCCAAACCAGAAAGGCUGGAGAAAGAUUAAGAAAAUGAUUAUGUAACCUUAAAGUUAUUUUAAAAAACAGAUGCAACUCCAGGAGAACAGGAGGUAUUGCUGCUGGACAUCUGACCUUCAGUAUACCAUUCUCUAUUCUCUCCCUUUCUUCUUGGUUUUAAAAUAAUACACAGCUAACAGAAAUGUUAUUCUAAAAAUCAUCCGAAUCACAUCAGAUUAGUACAAACCCACCUCAUUUAUUGUUUUCUCUGAAUCCCUACUAAAAGGCUUGGUAUUUCCAUUUUAUUUCCAAUCAUUAAGUCUGCCUUAAUUCUUGCUUUGCAAGUGUUAUGAAUAAAGACAUAAUUGGAAGAAAGAAGACAUUAAAACAAAGAAAAAUCAGCUCAGCCAGGGUGAGAACAGUUUCGGUGCAUCAGACCAACUUCACAGACAUCUCAAAAAGAGAUAAUAGCAAUGGUUUGGUUUAUUAUACUAAGGGUAUAGCUUUGCUUUUGGCAUCUUGUAUGUGUAUACCAAAUAUCUUGUACAUAUUUUCAUAUUAUAGCUUACAAGUAAAUUAAGAGGCAUUUUGGGGAAACUGUUAAAAAUUUUACUGUCAAGCUCUCAGCCUCAGAAGCAAUAAAUGAAGAGGAAUUUUAAUAUAACUUUGGACUGUGCAUCAGGAACUGCUAACCUCUGCACCUUCUCUAAUAAAAUAGCCUGUUAUUUUCCUGAAAUGACACUUUUGCUAUUCCGUUUUAUCUAAACGAAUUCAGUGUCAUCAAUUACUGGAAAUAAAUACCAAUAUUACACUAAAAAACAAAGCACCUAAUUAGUUAAGUGAUCACUGCAAAUACCCAGAUUAAAAAGUCAACAGCUUUUGUGAAACAAGGCACUAAGUGUUUCCAAAGCAUUCAAGAAAUACUAUGCAAAUGGGAAGUAUUUUAUGCUGUAAGGUUGAAACAUGCUCAGGGUUACAGCAAUGUUCAGAUAGCUCAAUCAGUACAAGCAAAUACACGCUAGUAAGUUUUGAAACAUACAAUUUCCCUUUAGAAUUUUGAAGGAAACAAAAGGGACAGGAUGGGGAGAAAUCACAUUCCGGACAUUAUAUUCUCCUUUUAUACACAGUAAUUUAAUCCUGUGAGAGUGAAAUACACCUGCUUAAACCCAGGAUAAACUUAGAAGGAAAAUUUCUCUGCUGUUGCUCAACAGGCUUCAUUACUUACUCUAACCAUAGCAAGGCUUUUGACACAGUUUCCCGUAGUAUCCACACAGCCAAACUGGUGGCUAAAUAGACUGGAUAGAAAAAUUGUCCGGACUGUCAGGCUCAGAGGGUUGUGCUUGCACAUACAAAACCCAACUGACAUCCUGAGGGGUUGAUACUAGGGCCGAUAUUACUUAAUGCCUUUAUAACCUGGAUGAUGGGGCAGAACACACUCUCGACAAGGCUGUAGAUGAUCCCAAAGUAAGAGAUUAUAGAGGGCUGUUGCUCAGAGGGAGCUCAACUCUUGAGAAACAGGUUGACAGGAACCUCAUGAACACCAAAGGCAAAUGCAGACUCUUGUACCUUCACAGUUACUCCAUCUCAACAGGCUGGAUCCUGACAGGAUAAAAAAAGCUCUGCAGAAGACCUGGGAAUCUGAGUGAACAACACAAAUCAGCAGCAUGUUCUUGCAGCAAAGGCAGCCCACAGCACACCAGGCUGUAUUAGGAAGAGUGUGGCUAAAGCUACAGCUACUUAAUGGAAAAGCAUAGAGAAGAUGGUGCUGGACUCUUAAAGGUGCACAAGCCAAGUGCAAGGGAAACAUGAGAGAUUCUGAUCCAUAUAAGGAAAAAAAUUUCCUCACUGUGACAGUGAUGAACCACUAAAACAGGUCACUUGGAGAGGUGGAGGACUCUUCAUCCUUGGAUAUGUUCAAGACUCAGCUGGACAAGUCCUGAGCAACCCACUCUAACUAGACCUGCUUUGAGGUUCCCUGGCUGGACUAGGUAGCCUCCAGAAGUCCCUUGCGUUCUCAUUCUAAAUUUGGCUAUGAUAAGUAUAUUCAAACUCUAUAUAUUUGAUAGUGAGAGAAGAUCCAUGUUCUUAAAGCAAAAUUAUCAGCUGAAUUAAUUUGUGCAAGUUAAGCAGCUGUCCAUUCAAAAUGAGGACAAAACUAGUAAUUUUCAUUUGACCAAAUGCAAGUCUGUUCCCCAAAGUUCUUAUUAAAGAGUUUAAAGUAGUUGAAA